AUACGGAGGGUGCAAGCGUUGUUCGGAUUUAUUGGGCGUAAAGCGAGUGUAGGCGGUUUGGCAAGUCGAAUGUGAAAUCCCGAGGCCCAACCUCGGAACUGCAUCCGAAACUGUCAGGCUAGAGUCCCGGAGAGGGUGGCGGAAUUCCCGGUGUAGGGGUGAAAUCCGUAGAUAUCGGGAGGAACACCAGUGGCGAAGGCGGCCACCUGGACGGUGACUGACGCUGAGACUCGAAAGUGUGGGUAGCAAACAGGAUUAGAAACCCUAGUAGUCC
rnacentral:rRNA from 1 species